AAACAAACAAACAAACAAACAAACAAACAAACAAAAUAGUUACACAUAAUAUGUUUAAUUAUUAUGUUAAUUUUUAUUUUAUAUUUUUUUUUUUUUUUUUUUUUUUUUAUUUUUAUUUUUUUUUAUUUUAUUUUUUUCUUUUACCUCUAUAUCAGUACUAUUCUUUUUACUUUUUGGAUUGGAAAACAUAUUGUUUUUUUUAUUAUAUACACUGCGUAUAUACAAAAAUACAUUCUCUGUGUAUAUAAUAAAAAAAACAAUAUGU
rnacentral:lncRNA from 1 species